UUUGAAGUCCAACCUGCCCAAUGAUGAUUAUUGAAUGGCCGCAGUAUUUUGACUGUGCAAAGGUAGCAUAAUCAUUAGUUUUUUAAUUAAAAGCUGGAAUGAACGGUUUGAUGAAAAAAGAUCUGUCUCAAGGUUAUUGGUAUAGAAAUUUAUUUUUAAGUUAAAAAGCUUAAAUAUUUUAAAAAGACGAGAAGACCCUAUAGAGUUUUAUAUUUAUUUAAUAAAAUUUUAUUUUGGAUUUUUAUACAUUUUUAUUUAGAAAAUAUUUAGUUGGGGUGAUGUAAAAAUUUAAUUAACUUUUUAAUAAUAAAAACAUUAAUUAAUGAAUAAAUGAUCCUUUUAUAUGGAUUAAUAGAAUAAAUUACCUUAGGGAUAACAGCGUAAUUUUUUUUGAGAGUUCUUAUCGAAAAGAAAGAUUGCGACCUCGAUGUUGGAUUAAAAUUAAUUUUUGGUGCAGAAGCUGGAAAAUUAGGUCUGUUCGACCUUUAAAAUUUUACAUGAUCUGAGUUUAAACCGGCGUGAGCCAGGUUGGUUUCUAUCUUUUAAUAAAUUAAAUGUUUUAGUACGAAAGGACCAAGCAUUAAAAUUAUAUUUUAUUUUUUGAAUUAUAUUGUUAUUUUGGCAGAUUAGUGCAAUAAAUUUAGAAUUUAUAUAUGUAGGUAUAUUACAAAUAACAUUGUUUUUUCAAGAUUUAUUUAUAAUUUUUUUAUCAAUAAUUAUUUUAAUUAUUUGUGUAUUAGUUGGGGUAGCUUUUUUA
rnacentral:rRNA from 1 species